rfam:Ciona savignyi cont_37528, whole genome shotgun sequence.
GCUUAUCACCAUUCCAGAUUGAAUAUACCCGAUCUCGUCUGAUCUCGGAAGUCAACCAAUCUCGGGCUUGGUUAGUACUUGGAUGGGUGACCGCUUGGGAAUACCAGUUGUGAUAAGCA